rnacentral:rRNA from 1 species
UACGAAGGUGGCUAGCGUUGUUCGGAUUUAUUGGGCGUAAAGGGUCCGCAGGCGGUUUGAUAAGUCAGGUGUGAAAUCCAACAGCUUAACUGUUGACACGCAUUUGAUACUGUCAGACUAGAGUAUGGGAGAGGGCAGUGGAAUUCCCGGUGUAGCGGUGAAAUGCGUAGAUAUCGGGAGGAACAUCAGUGGCGAAGGCGGCUGCCUGGCCCAAUACUGACACUCAGGUGCGACAGCGUGGGGAGCAAACAGG